rnacentral:rRNA from 1 species
GAUGAACGCUGGCGGCGUGCCUAAUACAUGCAAGUCGAGCGAACGGACGAGAAGCUUGCUUCUCUGAUGUUAGCGGCGGACGGGUGAGUAACACGUGGAUAACCUACCUAUAAGACUGGGAUAACUUCGGGAAACCGGAGCUAAUACCGGAUAAUAUUUUGAACCGCAUGGUUCAAAAGUGAAAGACGGUCUUGCUGUCACUUAUAGAUGGAUCCGCGCUGCAUUAGCUAGUUGGUAAGGUAACGGCUUACCAAGGCAACGAUGCAUAGCCGACCUGAGAGGGUGAUCGGCCACACUGGAACUGAGACACGGUCCAGACUCCUACGGGAGGCAGCAGUAGGGAAUCUUCCGCAAUGGGCGAAAGCCUGACGGAGCAACGCCGCGUGAGUGAUGAAGGUCUUCGGAUCGUAAAACUCUGUUAUUAGGGAAGAACAUAUGUGUAAGUAACUGUGCACAUCUUGACGGUACCUAAUCAGAAAGCCACGGCUAACUACGUGCCAGCAGCCGCGGUAAUACGUAGGUGGCAAGCGUUAUCCGGAAUUAUUGGGCGUAAAGCGCGCGUAGGCGGUUUUUUAAGUCUGAUGUGAAAGCCCACGGCUCAACCGUGGAGGGUCAUUGGAACUGGAAAACUUGAGUGCAGAAGAGGAAAGUGGAAUUCCAUGUGUAGCGGUGAAAUGCGCAGAGAUAUGGAGGAACACCAGUGGCGAAGGCGACUUUCUGGUCUGUAACUGACGCUGAUGUGCGAAAGCGUGGGGAUCAAACAGGAUUAGAUACCCUGGUAGUCCACGCCGUAAACGAUGAGUGCUAAGUGUUAGGGGGUUUCCGCCCCUUAGUGCUGCAGCUAACGCAUUAAGCACUCCGCCUGGGGAGUACGACCGCAAGGUUGAAACUCAAAGGAAUUGACGGGGACCCGCACAAGCGGUGGAGCAUGUGGUUUAAUUCGAAGCAACGCGAAGAACCUUACCAAAUCUUGACAUCCUUUGACAACUCUAGAGAUAGAGCCUUCCCCUUCGGGGGACAAAGUGACAGGUGGUGCAUGGUUGUCGUCAGCUCGUGUCGUGAGAUGUUGGGUUAAGUCCCGCAACGAGCGCAACCCUUAAGCUUAGUUGCCAUCAUUAAGUUGGGCACUCUAAGUUGACUGCCGGUGACAAACCGGAGGAAGGUGGGGAUGACGUCAAAUCAUCAUGCCCCUUAUGAUUUGGGCUACACACGUGCUACAAUGGACAAUACAAAGGGCAGCGAAACCGCGAGGUCAAGCAAAUCCCAUAAAGUUGUUCUCAGUUCGGAUUGUAGUCUGCAACUCGACUACAUGAAGCUGGAAUCGCUAGUAAUCGUAGAUCAGCAUGCUACGGUGAAUACGUUCCCGGGUCU